GUAAGCAACCCUCGGAUUGAAUCCGAGGGCUUCAGCAAAUACUGAAGCCCAGGUUACCAGACUCAGUAUCUCGCGUACUACGUUCAAAAUAAGCGUUAAAGACCUACCAGGGAAUGCGUAGCUAGUUCCCUACUCUAGA
rnacentral:sRNA from 25 species